GCAGUCGUGGCCGAGUGGUUAAGGCGAUGGACUAGAAGUCCAUUGAGGUCUUUUCCCGCACAAGUUCGAAUCCUGUCGACUGCG
rnacentral:tRNA from 2 species